rnacentral:rRNA from 1 species
GACGAACGCUGGCGGCGUGCUUAACACAUGCAAGUCGAACGGAAAGGCCCUGCUUUUGUGGGGUGCUCGAGUGGCGAACGGGUGAGUAACACGUGAGUAACCUGCCCUUGACUUUGGGAUAACUUCAGGAAACUGGGGCUAAUACCGGAUAGGAGCUCCUGCUGCAUGGUGGGGGUUGGAAAGUUUCGGCGGUUGGGGAUGGACUCGCGGUUUUUCAGCUUGUUGGUGGGGUAUUGGCUUACCAAGGUUUUGACGGGUAGCCGGCCUGAGAGGGUGACCGGCCACAUUGGGACUGAGAUACGGCCCAGACUCCUACGGGAGGCAGCAGUGGGGAAUAUUACACAAUGGGCGGAAGCCUGAUGCAGCAACGCCGCGUGCGGGAUGACGGCCUUCGGGUUGUGAACCGCUUUCGCCUGUGACGAAGCGUGAGUGACGGUAAUGGGUAAAGAAGCACCGGCUAACUACGUG